CCUUCCCUCGAUAGCAACGAAGAAGAAGAUGGUAAUGCUUUUAAAUUUAUGUCAUGAGCAUUUGCAAUCCAUAACUUCCUUAACCAAAUUUGCAGUCCUUCAACAAUCAAAAUGCCCACGAAAAUUGCACGUAUUUUGCCAACAGCCCCAGCGCGUUAAACACUGCGUCAUUAUGCCGCACUAAGGCAGAGAGGUAGAAGAAACCCCACUUUGCAAAGGAAGGAAACCAAACUCUAGAAGAAAUGAAUCAGCUUACACAAUGUCACACACACACAAGUGUCAGAGGGAGGAAGAAAUCACAGCUUGCCCAAGUCCUCUUGCAUCAAUACGCAGAAAACCAUUAUGGAGCAGUUAGCCACGUACAGCAACACCACCGUCCCCAUGCACAAAAUCGCUACUGUCCUACAGAAAUAUGCCAUGUCCCCUUCUUAGCCUUGUUUCUUGCCAGUCCCACAGAUUUACCUGCUGACAGUAACCUCAAUUCCUGAGUAAUGAGAUUUACAGCUGAAGUUUAACAUUGAAAUAACUCCUCUUUUAUCUCUGUCUUCUUACCCUCCCCGCAGUCAGACGCAAUUAAACUAGCGCUGUGGCAGAAAGAUGGUAGCAAAAGAAAUCAAACCAAAUGCAAUCCCAGCGCUGCACACAGAUACUCAAAAAGUACAUAUAUGCCCAAACAAGUGUACAGGCUGCGAGUUUCACCUCGGUUCGAAGGACUGGGAAAUGUCAUAGAAUGCCAGGUUGGAAGAGACAACAGCUUUGCAAAUUAACUGGGUCCUUCCCCCCACAAGUGUGAUGAGAAACUAUGCAAAGGGUUCUCUGUACAGAGACAGACUCAACCCACCCAUCUUCUGUGCCACAGAGCACUGUUUCUUAGUCCAUCUCCUGGCUGUACAGAUUUACCUCCAUGACUGCCCUGUUCCUAUCUUUGUGUGUAUUUAUGCCUGUCUGCCUUGUUGCAGGGACCACCGUUGUUGCUGCUAUUCCUGUUGUUCCCCUGCUCUGCGGAACUGGCGCUGCAGGAGGCAAGGAUGCUCCAAGGGAGCCAGCUAAAGCCAGCGAAGGCUCAGUGAGUCAGGAGGGGUUGUGACGACUGCAGUAAGAGACUGAAAUUCCCUAUGGAAUCUGGCACAAAAAGGGGGAGGCAAGAAGGGUGGAGAUGGGAAUGAGGGGGGAAAAAGUGGGGAGUGGCACUUCAUGUCUUGUUUUCUCUUUUCCUCCCUGCUACAAGCUCCGCAUUGCUGUUGGGAAUGGCGUCCUCCCGUCUAUGGCACUGCGCAAAAGAGCGGAGCCGGGGAUAAAACCGCAGUGCCUACGGCCUUUAUGGCUUUUGUAACCAAAAUUUGGUCAGGGUGGGUGUAUGUGUGUAAAUACAGCCCUUCUCUCUCUCCCUCUCACUCAGAGGACAGGCUACGCUGAAGUAAUGGAGACGGCGGACGCAGCGUGUUUGAGCCGGUUCUGAACCCAGCAGUUGUUGCUAAACAACCGGACCUGACACUUGAGAGGUCAGCGAACCUUUACAGACCCAUCACUCAGGACUGUCUUCAGCUCUCCCUGAUGUUACCGAGCCUGUGACAAACUUGCACUUGGGCAAACAAAAGCUGAGUUUGGGCAAGAGUCUUCUUCGCUUUGCUUUUUCCCACGACAGAAUUUCCAGGCGCAGUCCCUGCCCUCAGCUGUUUACAGUCCUGCUCACACUAAACCACCUUAAAAGGGAGAAGGAAGAAAGCAAGCACGGAGAAAAGCCCCAAACCCCAGGACUUUCCCCUUCCCCGUGGUUUGCAGCUCUGACACGUCAUCAUCGCAACUGCACGGCAAAAUGAAACCUCACCCGCAAAAGAGACACCCCUGGGAGCAAGGACCAGCACCCACUGCACCGAGGAGGUAACUGCUGCUGCCCUGCCUGCUGCCCCUGCCUGUGGGACACCCAGGAUCCCGGCAGGAGCGGGCAGGUUGCUGCCGGCACUUUGAAGCAAGUGAAAUCAACGUUGAGAUUUGACACCCAGUUCUCGACCAAUCAGAGAGAGCUUUUCACCUGCCAUCACCUCCUCCACCAAUCGGACGGUGCCUUUGGGCUGAGAGCCCUCCCCGGCCAAUGGGGAGCCAGCUCUGCCACUUAGUUAAUGAUGCAGCAGUACAGGGAAGACUAUCACAUGUGAGCUGGAAGGCUGCCAACAUGGAGACACGGAGAGAGCAAGGUAAACAACUUUCCAACGCCAAAAUGAUGACAUUUAAUCCCUAAACGCUAGCUUCCCGUCUCGACUCAUCUUUAACCCCUUUCAGCUGGUGUGGAAGCGUCUGGAAGGCACCGUCUACCUGUUCCCCAGUGCUUUUAAAAACUGGACGACAUGCCCUGCAAUGAUCACUGCGUCACCGUUUACCACUUUGCAAACUACGCAGUGACAAACCUCCGAGCUCUGAAACGCAGAGCGCCUGUUAACCCCUCUGCCAGAGCCCUGCCAACGUGCCAGCCUCUACGGAGCUGCUGGGGUGGAGGGGGGGGAG